CUUGACGACUAUAGAGAGUUGGAACCACCUGAUCCCUUCCCGAACUCAGCAGUGAAACGACUCUUCGCCGAUGGUAGUGUGGAGCUUCUCCAUGUGAGAGUAGGUCAUCGUCAAGC
rnacentral:rRNA from 1 species